rnacentral:lncRNA from 1 species
UCGUUCACAAACUGAGUGAGCAGUGGGAUAAGGAUAGCUCCAAGAACAGCUACUUUUCUCCAAUCCGGUGAAGAAACAAAAGAAUCAGCGAUUCCUAGAGCCACGAUCCCAAUCAAACCGAGGUAAAUGUUCCUUCUUGACUCUGAUCCUACACUUUCUUUGGUAACCUCUUGUAUUUUCUGUGUCUCCUCUUUAGCUUUCUCUACAUCAACAGGCUGUUUAUCACGUAAGCUCUUGAAGAACAAUCCUUCAUUCCUGUCUUCCACGAUCUGCUCCUCAAACUCAGCCAACUUGUUAUCGUUCUCCUCUAUCUCCAACCUGUUCAACCCUGC